AAUCUACAUAUACAUUUUUGCAGCA
rnacentral:siRNA from 1 species